AUGCUUGCUUCGGCAGCACAUAUACUAAAAUCGGAAUGAUACAGAGAAGAUUAGCAUGGCCCCUGCACAAGGCUGACAUGCAAAUUCGUGAAGUCUUCCAUAUUUUU
rnacentral:snRNA from 1 species